rnacentral:tRNA from 1 species
AGAAACUUAGGAUAAUUAGACCAAGAGCCUUCAAAGCCCUCAGUAGGAGUUAAAAUCUUCUAGUUUCUG